rnacentral:rRNA from 1 species
GAUGAACGCUGGCGGCGUGCCUAAUACAUGCAAGUCGAGCGAACAGACGAGGAACUUGCUCCUCUGACGUUAGCAGCGGACGGGUGAGUAACACGUGGAUAACCUACCUUUAAGACUGGGAUAACUUCUGGAAACCGGUGCUAAUACCGGAUAAUAUCUUUAACCGCAUGUUUCAAUAUUUAAAGACGGUAUUGCUGUCACUUAUAAUUGUCUCCGCGCCUCUUUAGUUAGUUGUUAAGGUAACGGCUUACCAAGGCGACGAUGAGAAGCCGACCUGGUAGGGUGAUCGGCCAAAAGGGAACUGAGAAACGGUCCAGACUCCUAGGGAAGGAAGAAGUAGGGAAUCUUCCGAAAUGGGCGAAAGCCUGACGGAGAAAGGCCGCGGGAUUGAGGAAGGUUUUCGGAUCGAAAAACUUGGUGAUAAAGGAAGAACAAAUGUGUAAGUAAAUAUGCACGAAGUGACGGUAACUAAUCAGAAAGCCACGGCUAACUACGUG